rnacentral:lncRNA from 1 species
CCAUCUGUAUUCAUCGGUAAAUCAUUUAUUUCUGAAAAUUUAAUUGAAAAGGAUUCCAUCUGUCUUAGUUUUGAAAAUUUAUCUUGGAAUCUACUUAUGAGUUCUUAUUGGCUUGCACUUUAGUGUUUCAAUCCUGAGCCAAUUCAUUUUAAUUGAUUUUGAUGCUAUGAUCUUUAAAGGAGUAAAAGAACGUUUUUAAGAGAGCUCUAAAAGAACCUUCAAAGCCCUGAAUUUUAUGUAUCCUACAUUGCAUAAAUUCAUAUCUUGGUAUCUAUGCUCCAAUACUUUUAUAUCAUGAAAGAACUUUGAAGUCAUUAAGAACUAAGAAUUCAACAUAAUCUUAUGUUUUUCGAGUAUAUAAGUUUUGAUCUUUAUCUGCUCUUAUACUAUACUCUAAAAAUUAAUUAGAUUGCUCUCAUGUGGCUAUAUACUUAAUAUAUUAAAAAAAAAGGUAUUGGAUUUUC